UGCUCAACUGUAACCCUAGAAGACCCCCCCACAUAAGACUUCCGCCCGAGCACUACAAGCGAAAGCUAGAAACUCAAAGGACUUGACGGUGUCCUAACACCCUAGAGGAGCCUGUCCUUUAAUCGAUAAUCCACGCUAUACCUCACCCCCCUUAGCCCAACACAGCCUAUAUACCGCCGUCGAAAGUCUACCUUAUGAAAGCACCUGCGUAGAUAAACCAGCCUAGCCCCCUCCAACGUCAGGUCAAGGUGUAGCUCAUAGGGGGGAAAGUGAUGGGCUACACUCCUUAAACUGAGGCCCCGUAAGCAAUAUGAAACUACCCCAAAGAAGGAUUUAGCAGUAAAAUUAACAAGUAGUGUUAACUUGAAGCCCCGCCCUAGGACGCGUACAC
rnacentral:rRNA from 1 species